rnacentral:lncRNA from 1 species
AAAACUGAACGAACUACACCUGCAAACAGUGAUUUUCUUCUAAUAGACACAGAUUUAAUGGAUACACUCAUCUGUGAGGUUUCUAGUUACAACCGUACAUUACAUAGCUUAACUGUAUCCAUCAAGUGUGAUUGUCAGGUAACAUAUCUCAAGGCUUAACACUAACCUAAACGAGCAAGCUUAUCAAAAUACCCAAACCACACAAACCAACCCCAGUUACAUCAACUCACGGCUUAACACUAAUCAUGGAUUGCAUGGUGCCAUCCCCUCUGGUUCCCGUUGCACUUCACUGAAUAUGUACUGGCUCUGAAACUCCAAGUACGAACAAUACAACUGCCUGGUAGAAAGAAACAUGAUUCUAUCAUAUAAGGGGUAGCCUGCAGUCCAAAGAACAAUUCAGGAAAAAAAACAGAACUUAAGCGAUCCAGGCAAGGCCAUGCUAAGAUCAAAAGUGAUUUGGUUGGACAACAAUUGUCUUUAUAAUGCUGAAAAACUAAGACAUAUUUGCAGAAUUAAAUCUUGUUUGUCUAUUAGAAGUGUCUCACUUGCUAAAGUACAGAGCAAGAAUUUCUGAUGAUGAUGCUAAAAAUAUCUAUUACAGAUGAACAUCUUCUCACUUAUCUUCCAAGUUUCAGAUGAUGAUGCUGAACAUGUUCUCAAUUAUCUUCCAAGUUUCAGAUGAUGAAUGAUGCUGAACAUGUUCUCACUUAUCUUCAAAGUUUCAGAUGCUGCUGUUGCUGCUGCAGUACAGAGCAACAACACACAUGAGAAAAAGGAAUUGUGCUCAAUACACAUAAUAAUAAGGUUGCGCUAAUUGGCCAAAUAGUCACAUGAGCACAAUGUAUAGCAGUUGUCUGCAAAAUGAAGUUACACAUAAAUACAAAUCAAAUCUUGAAAUCUAUGUGAAGCUAGGCUUAGCAAUUCCCUUUCUAGGCCAUACAAUCAACUUCCUGAAGCUAACAGUAAGGCUCAUUCAGAGUUACAUAGAAUAAUUAUACAGAACUGGAUAAACCAAUCAUAUGCAUGCUUCAACAAAACGCCUGCAAAUGUGAGCUUCUAGUUCUAGGUAAUCAUUUUUCACGUAAAAACUAUUGCGUGUACACAUCACAGGAAAAAGUAGUAAUUGACAUCACAGAAAAAAGGUAGUAAUGAACAAACUCUUGCCGUGUACGCGGGCUCACAGGUAAUCAUUUUUCACAUACAUAUUCAGUCGUUCAUGUACGACUUUAGUAUAAAUUGAGCGAAGUACUUGACUAAUUAUCAGACCAGACAUAGCACAUCUAUAUUCCACUCUAACAAUUGUAAUUAGUGAUAAAAUUUCACCAUUAUGGUUGCAUCUCGUACAUAAAUUCAGUGCCCAUACUGUCCAAUUUCUGAAAUGGGUUCAAACGAAUUGGGGCAACUGAGGAGGAAUCAGAAGAACCAAUAUGGCUGCCCAUGAAUAAUAUAAGAACGAAAUACAGUUCACAUACCUCGGAUCGUUGAGCUGUAAUGGCGGAUGGACGGAUCCUAUGCAGCAGUACGGUCCAUCCACAGAGCUACAACCUCGC